GACGAACGCUGGCGGCGUGCUUAACACAUGCAAGUCGAACGGAAAGGCCCUGCUUUUGUGGGGUGCUCGAGUGGCGAACGGGUGAGUAACACGUGAGUAACCUGCCCUUGACUUUGUGAUAACUUCAGGAAACUGGGGCUAAUACCGGAUAGGAGCUCCUGCUGCAUGGGGGUGGUUGGAAAGUUUCGGCGGUUGGGGAUGGUCUCGCGGCUUAUCAGCUGGUUGGUGAGGUAGUGGCUUACCAAGGCUUUGACGGGUAGCCGGCAUGAGAGGGUGACCGGCCACCUUGGGACUACGAUACGCACCAGAAUGCUACGGGCGGCAGCAGUGGGAAAUAUUGCACAAUGGGCGGAAGCCUGAUGCAGCAACGCUGGGUGCGGGAUGACGGCCUUCGGGUUGUAAACAGCUUUGGCCUGAGACGAAGCGUGAGUGACGGUAAUGGGUAAAGAAGCACCGGCUAACUACGUG
rnacentral:rRNA from 1 species